rnacentral:rRNA from 1 species
AUGUAUAGGCUUAAACUACUUCGACGAGCAAUUGCCUUAUGUUUCUUUUAUCAUGCUCUUCAAGCUAGAGGUGUUCGGUUCUUCCCUACCAUUGAAGAGGAAAAUAAUUCAUUGGACAAAGAUUUUGUCCAUGGUCCAGCCAAACAAAUUCUCAAAAGUUUGAAGUCAAACUCCACUGAAGCAGUAACUUCAGGGCAAGGUUCUAGUUCAUGGGAUGAUCCCUAUUUUGUGGCACACCUAACACAUUCUGGAGGUCCUAAUGACAACUACUAUGGCUUACAUGCCACCAUGGAUGUGUAUGGCCACGAACUAAAACAUGGCCAGUGGAGUUCGACUACUUUUUGGAUUAAUCAUGCCGGACAUGGUAAUAAAUCAAGCUAUAAUGUGAUUCAAGUUGGCUGGCAUAUUAAUCCAGAUCGCUAUGGUGACUCACAUCCUCACUUCUACACCUGUUGGACGAGAGAUAAUUAUGAUGCAACUGGUUGCUACAACAUGGACUGCCCUGGUUACAUACGGGUAGAUGGCGCUGUUAUAGCUCCUCGUGAUGCUAUACAUCCAGUUUCUAAUGUCCCUGAUGGACCUAGACAAUGUGUCACUCUAAGAGUGCUAAAGGACAAAAAAAGUGGAGAUUGGUGGGUGUAUUACGGCUUCAAUAAAAUCCCGACAGGCGUGGGAUACUUCCCAAGAUCGUUGUUCAGCUACUUAGCAGAAAAGGCGGACGGAAUGCAAUUUGGUGCAUUUGUUAAAUCUAAAAAAGCACUUCCAACUCCUCCAAUGGGCAGUGGUGCCCUCCCAAAUGGUGGUAAGGGUCGCGCCGCAUCAUUCACAGACAUUAGAUUCAUUGACUAG